GCGGAUGUAACUCAAUCGGUAGAGUGCGAUCCUUCCAAGUUCGAGGUUGUGGGUUCGAGUCCCAUCAUCCGCU
rfam:Chlamydomonas reinhardtii strain CC-503 cw92 mt+ chloroplast, complete genome.